UAAAGCUGUCCAACUAAGUUCUUGAGAAUGAUUGAUGGAAUGAAGUUGGAAGAAAUUUAGAAAUUUGGAGAAGGAUCUCAAGAGGACUUCGAGGGAACUCCCGGCGAAGCGUUUUAGAGCUAAUUUCU